rnacentral:lncRNA from 1 species
AACAAGUGUAAAUUGUUUUAUGCCCACAUCCCAGGCCCAAGAUGCGCAACAUAUCAAAUGUAAAUAAAACAUAUUUACGGAGGCCAAACAACUCUUCUAAAGAGAGUUUGACCUCUUUCUCUGGCACGCCAAGGUUUUCACCUAGAUCACCACCUUGUCCUCGUCACACCCACCAAAAUAAAUUUUCCAUCCACGACAUCUUUAUCUACAUCAUAACGAACAUCUUCAAGGGGGACGUCGUGGAAAAAAGCAGUCUGUCGUAUACCUUGAUAAAAACACUACUUGUUGAUACAAAGGAAGAAUGACUCAUAAUACUCUAGCUUCUCAGUCAUAGUCUUCUUUUCGGUUGCUGCUUCCUCCUCGAUCUUCGCACUGUCGGUUUUUUCUAUUUGGAAAUUUGCUUCUAGAGUUGCCACCUUAUUUUUUGUCUCGUCAGCCUCAGCACUGACUUGGCGAUACUUCUCGUCCAACAAUCUCAUGGCCUCCAAGGUCGUCUUCAAGGAGCUGGAGGACUCGUCUAAAUCUGCCUUCAACUCAGUGACUAAGUUCCUCUCCAGCUCAUUGUCGAGCGUUCGGCUCACAACAAGCGAGCGACUCAACAUUUCAAUUAAUCCUGCCACCAAGUCACUUGUCGGAAUGACAACCAGGAUACUCUACUCUUCGGGCAUCAUUGUUACUUGAAUAUCCUACGCCAGUUGAAGACGCUCACCCAACAUCAAAGGAGAAUGAGAAGAUGACCCAGUCUUGGUCCGAGGAUGGGAUGUCCUAGUCGGACGCCCUCUUUUCUUUGGGGUAGUGGGUUGUAAGGCAACCACUAGUGGCACCACAUCAACAAUAGGUGUCGAUGUCCCCACCCCUAUCAUCUCCAUGGACCCUUUUUGGAGUUUAGCUACUUAUGCUUCAAUUGUUUAAAAAAAUUUACAGUCUCGAAGUAAAACC